UGUAAGUUUAGAUACUCCAAAAGGGACCAAAAUCCAUGAAGGACUGAGUUUGCCUGUGACCCAUGUACCCGAAUAGAUAGUCAGAGACAUAGAUGCUGGCAUGACAAGUUGAUUAAUUCACGCAGACUGCAUCCCUAAUUCUCCCUUCCUCAGAGGCAGGCACAGGGAUCCGUUGUGUUCUUAAAUGGUGGGACUGAAGGGCAGAAUCAAGACCUCCCCUCCCAGAUACUCUAGGACAAAUUGACUCUUUGAACUGAAGGAGGAAGAAACUUCCUUCUUUGGCCUGUGUUUUGUGUCUGUGUCCCCAUCUUGAUUCUGGGUUCUGUGGGGCUUUAUCUAUGGUGCAUUCACUUCUGUGCCACCGCCACCCCCAUCUCACUGUGGGUUCAGCCCAACAACCAUCUGAACAGAGUGGGUGUGCAGCCACUGCCUGUUAGGUGCACAAGGAAGGAAUUAAUAGUGAUAGCUAGCAUAUGUAGUACUCGCUCUGUGCUGAGCACUUUACAAUAAUCCUAAAAAGUAGGUGCUGUUAUUUUGAGGUCUAUUUUGCAGAGGAGGGAAGUGAAGCACAGAGAGGUCAAGAAACUUGCCCACAGUCACACAGCCCAUGAGUGGUAAAGCCAGGAUUUGAACUGCAUGGUCUCAUUCAGUUAGCCAUGUUCUUAAACACAUCACUACCCCCAAUCUUUGCAUAUUAUGGGUUGGUAAAAGAGAUGGAGCAGAUGGAGCCCUUGAGUGGCCCGGAGUGCCUCACAGUGAGUGGCCAGUGCUCAAGGAACAUUUUAGGUGAGAAGUGGUUGGGUCAUUUGUCAAAAUGAAAAGCUAAAGAGGAUGCUAAUGUGGGUCCAGGAAUUAGCCCAAAGCUCUAACUUCAAAACUUGGGCUCCAAAACCAGCUCCUGGCUGACCUUUCAGAUGAUAAUAAAGACAACUGGCAAAUGCGUACGAAGGAGACAUUCUAGAAAUUAAUUCUCAUGAGGAAAUGAGAUAAGCAGUUAAUUUGGGAACAAAGAGUUAUUUUCAGUAGGCGUUUACUGUGGGUCCCAAGGUGCAUAAGGCCAGUGGGGACUUGGGCGGUUGUAUACCAUGGCUCUCGUCUUUGAGAAGCUCCUAGUGAAAUGGCAAGAUGGAGGUCCAUCUUCUAUGCGGAAGCCAACUUAGAGUGCCUCAUUCGUUGGCCAUGGGCCUGUCCGUCCCAGUCUGUGGAGGGCUGCUUGGUGUCCCCCCAUUGUGUGUCCAGCCAGCUAUGACCUGGAGAGGAGCAUUCUGGUGAAAUGGCUUCUGGCUGGACGAGCCAAGUCCCUUCCUGGCUGAGGGACCAGCCCCUGGCUUUGUGUCUCUCUGGCACAUCGUGANAGUGAGAGCCACAGUGAAGGGCCCCAGAGGCCAGCCAAGCCGUGAGCAAGCAGUCCUCACGGGGAGCUGCCGCGUCCAGUGCCCAGUGCUCCUGUUGGGCUAUGAGCAAUUUCCAAGUAAUUAAGUGGAUUGGGUUCUAAUGCCCUUGUGACCAUCCUCUGGCAGGUUCUAUUGAUGUCUUGGCAGCCAGACUAGCCCUGGAGGGGGCCCUGCCCUGGCAUCCACUCUGCCUGGAGGGGACUGAUGAGGGAGGGGCUCAACAUAUUUAGAAGUUCAUGUGCACGGGGAGCUGAUUACUCUCCUUCGAGAUCAGUGUUUGCUACCAGUCCCAACUUGCAUGGAGCUAGGCUUUUCAUGGCAACUAAAAACCUGUCUGGAAAUAAAAUGUCUCUUUCCUUUUGCAUUUCUACCGUAAUGACACAGGAAACUCGUUUUUCCUUUUUAACUUACCAGGAUAACUGGCGAUGAAUAAGAGUAUAGACGUGUGGGGCGCCUGGGUGGCACAGCGGUUGAGCGUCUGCCUUCGGCUCAGGGCGUGAUCCCGGCGUUAUGGGAUCGAGCCCCACAUCAGGCUCCUCCGCUAUGAGCCUGCUUCUUCCUCUCCCACUCCCCCUGCUUGUGUUCCCUCUCUCGCUGGCUGUCUCUCUCUCUGUCAAAUAAAUAAAUAAAAUGUUUUAAAAAAAAAAAAGACAUUUACGGUGCUGAGCAGCCAUCCCCACCGUCCGCCUCCAGAAUGUUCCAUCCCCCCACACUGAGACCCUACCUUGUCCCUUUUACAGGCUGACCCCACCCCUUCCCCCAGACCCCCGCACCACCAUCUACUUUCUGUCUCUGGAUUUUGACGACUCCAGGGAGCCCUGAAGAGCCAAGUCCUGCAGUGUCCAUCCUUCCUUGUCCAGCUCUCCUCCCUCAGCAUCACGUCCUCCAGGCUCACCCGUGUUGCAGCAGGUGCAGAAACUGAAGGGGACAUCACCCCAGCCAAACCACCAGGUCCCUGGGGCAUCCCUGCCGCUGCAGCCGUAUCUAGCUGUACCUUUCUCUGGAAAAUUGUUCCCAGCGCACGCCUGAGCUCCUGCUCCCCCUCCCGGUAACCCUCGGCCCAGAGCUGAUGGUGGCGUGGGGUCCACUCUGGCCCCUGGCCUCCAGCUGCCAUUCCGACCGCAGAGCUCCCGGGGAGCCAGGUGAGUAAACCAUGGUCCACAGAAGCAUAAGGAUCCAACCAAGGCCGCUCACGGGGUUGGGAGCAGAUGUUCUGGUCAGCAACGGGGCUCCAAACUCUUGUGACAUCCCGUACUGAGCCGCAGCCUUCUUAUCAUUGUUUUAAGUAGACGUCACGCCCAACGUGGGGCUUGAACUCAUGACCCUGAGAUCAAGAGUUGCAUGCUCUACCGACGGAGCCAGCCAGCCAGGCCUCCCCAAGCUGCAGCCUCUCAAUGAUGAUAUCAUUACGAGAUUUUCAAAUUUAUGCACACUGAUGGGGGAAGCUUUCUUCUGAGGUCUCCACGGAGAUCAGACGACCCUGCUACACGCUUAUUUUGGAAAAAUUUGACAUCAUCUUAUAAAGCUGAAGACGCCCUACCCCGGCCCCAUCCAUUCCAGCCCUAGAUGGACAUAUUCUUCAGGUAAACUCGUGCACACGUGUGAGGACAUCCUUCACGACACUGUUUCCAGAACCAAAAAGCUGACACAACCCAACUCUCCAAGGGCCAGAGGAGGAUAAAGAAACUAGGGUGGGCCUACAGCAGACUGCCGUCCGCAGGGCGAUGAGCGAGCUGGGGCUUCGCACGCGAAAAUGCAUUACUCUCAUAAACGUCAUGGAGAAAAAGUGCAAGUUCCAGGAAAAGACGUAUAAAUGAGGACCACAAACAUGUAUUAUGUUCUCUAAUAUAUGGGACACACGUACAGCACUAGACAUGUUUUUUUUUUUAAGAUUUUUAUUUAUUUGACACAGAGACAGCCAGCGAGAGAGGGAACACAAGCAGGGGGAGUGGGAGAGGAAGAAGCAGGCUCCCAGUGGAGGAGCCUGACGUGGGGCUCGAUCCCAGAACGCUGGGAUCACGCCCUGAGCCGAAGGCAGACGCUUAACAACUGCGCCACCCAGGCGCCCCAGUACUAGACAGGUUUGCACACUGCACGUGUAUUUUUAUAUUUAUGAUGUCUUUGCCUUUCUCUAUAGAUGUACGAUUUUAUUACAUGUGGUAUUUUAUAUGUGGAGUGUAUAUAAUAUAUAACUUACAUAAUAUAGUAGCUUAUGCAUAUUACAUAUAAAUACGUACUUACUAUACGUUUUACUAUGUUUAUCACUCUAUGUAUUUACUCUGUAUAUUUACCAUAGAUAGUAUUUUAUAUAUAAUUUUGUCUUAUAAAUAAGUUUAAACACUGUAAGUACAAUAAUAU